UGCAUACAUCCGAGUCUAAACCAGAUAUUUAUUUUUUUUCAAAGUUGAUGUCAAUUCUUGCCUGGUUGUGAAAAUAAAUUUAUCCAAAUUUGAUAGGUGUGCUAAAUAAUCAAAGAAAUUAUUCAUUCUUUGGGGUAUUUUUUCCUUUGAAAAAGUAUUUUGAGUGCCAUACAUUAGUGUUGUUACAGAACUAUGCAAGAUGCAUAAGUUUUAGGUACCUGUUUUGGUUCAUUAAUGGCAGAAUAAUUAGUUGAAAACUUAUUUAAUUUGGACCUUGAAUAUGAUUUUUAAGGUGUUUUGAUUUCAAAAUUUUAAUCAUAAGAUCAUGCUUUCGCAUUAUUGAUUUAGAGGAUUUUAUGUUUUAUUAAAAAAAAUAAAAAUAUUUUUAGAUUGAUCUUAUCCAGUACAAAACCUCUGACAAUAUAUUUUUAAGUUCGUGUUUUACAGUAGAUAUUUUAUGUGACAACCAAAUGAGAAUCUCAUUCUAUGUACUUUGUAUGGAAUGGAAACUGACUGUAAUGUAACGGAUACUGACCGGGAAGCUGUUAUUUAAUACCUGUACAUUUGUAGAUAUACUUUGUGAAUAUUGCUGUGUGUAGUCUGUCAGAAUUCUGUGUCUUCUCAUGUCUGUAUUCGCAAAACCACGUGUCUAAAUAAAGCCAUGAAGAAAGAU
rnacentral:misc_RNA from 1 species